rnacentral:rRNA from 1 species
AUUGAACGCUGGCGGCAUGCCUUACACAUGCAAGUCGAACGGUAACAGGUUAAGCUGCCGAGUGGCGACCGGGUGAUUAUUUUAUCGGAACGUGCCCAUUCGUGGGGGAUAACUGCUCGAAAGAGCAGCUAAUACCCCAUCCGACCUGAGGGUAAAACCGGGGGAUCGCAAGACCUCGCCCGUUUGGACCGGCCGAUAUCAGAUUAGGUAGUUGGUGAGGUAAAGGCUCACCAAGCCGACGAUCUGUAGCUGGUCUGAGAGGACGACCAGCCACACUGGGACUGAGACACGGCCCAGACUCCUACGGGAGGCAGCAGUGGGGAAUUUUGGACAAUGGGCGCAAGCCUGAUCCAGCCAUGCCGCGUGCGGGAAGAAGGCCUUCGGGUUGUAAACCGCUUUUGUCAGGGAAGAAAAGGUUCUGGCUAAUACCUGGGACUCAUGACGGUACCUGAAGAAUAAGCACCGGCUAACUACGUG